ACUUAAAUAGCUUAUGAAGAGUGUAACAUUGAAGAUGUUAAGGAAAUAUUAUUAUUUUUAAGUA
rnacentral:tRNA from 1 species